rnacentral:rRNA from 1 species
CCUACGGGGUGCUGCAGUGGGGAAUAUUGGACAAUGGGCGAAAGCCUGAUCCAGCCAUGCCGCGUGUGUGAAGAAGGCCUUCGGGUUGUAAAGCACUUUCAGUGGGGAAGAAAGCCUUGGGGCUAAUACCCUCGAGGAAGGACAUCACCCACAGAAGAAGCACCGGCUAACUCCGUGCCAGCAGCCGCGGUAAUACGGAGGGUGCGAGCGUUAAUCGGAAUUACUGGGCGUAAAGCGCGCGUAGGCGGUCUGAUAAGCCGGUUGUGAAAGCCCCGGGCUCAACCUGGGAACGGCAUCCGGAACUGUCAGGCUAGAGUGCAGGAGAGAAAGGUAGAAUUCCCGGUGUAGCGGUGAAAUGCGUAGAGAUCGGGAGGAAUACCAGUGGCGAAGGCGGCCUUCUGGACUGACACUGACGCUGAGGUGCGAAAGCGUGGGUAGCAAACAGGAUUAGAUACCCUGGUAGUC